rnacentral:rRNA from 1 species
UCGAACGGCAGCGCGAGAGAGCUUGCUCUCUUGGCGGCGAGUGGCGGACGGGUGAGUAAUAUAUCGGAACGUGCCCAGUAGCGGGGGAUAACUACUCGAAAGAGUGGCUAAUACCGCAUACGCCCUACGGGGGAAAGGGGGGGAUCGCAAGACCUCUCACUAUUGGAGCGGCCGAUAUCGGAUUAGCUAGUUGGUGGGGUAAAGGCU